rnacentral:rRNA from 1 species
GUCUGAGAGGAUGGUCAGCCACACUGGGACUGAGAUACGGCCCAGACUCCUACGGGAGGCAGCAGUCGAGAGGCUUCGGCAAUGGGGGAAACCCUGACCGAGCGACGCCGCGUGCGCGAUGAAGGCCUUCGGGUUGUAAAGCGCUGUCGUGCGGGAAGAAAGGUCCAGCGGCAAACAGUCGAGGGACUAUGACGGUACCGCAAAAGAAGCUCCGGCCAACUCCGUGCCAGCAGCCGCGGUAAUACGGGGGGAGCGAACGUUGUUCGGAAUUACUGGGCGUAAAGGGCGCGCAGGCGGCUUUGUAAGUGGGAUGUGAAAGGUCCUGGCUCAACCAGGGACGUGCGUCCCAUACUGCGGAGCUUGAGUACAGGAGAGGAUGGGGGAAUUCCCGGUGUAGCGGUGAAAUGCAUUGAUAUCGGGAGGAACACCAGUGGCGAAGGCGCCCAUCUGGCCUGUUACUGACGCUGAGGCGCGAAAGCUGGGGGAGCAAACAGGAUUAGAUACCCUGGUAGUCCCAGCUGUAAACGGUGAGCACUAGGUGUGGGGGGCAUCGACCCCUUCCGUGCCGCAGCUAACGCAUUAAGUGCUCCGCCUGGGGAGUACGACCGCAAGGUUGAAACUCAAAGGAAUUGACGGGGGCCCGCACAAGCGGUGGAGCAUGUGGUUUAAUUCGAUGCAACGCGAAGAACCUUACCCAGGCUUGACAUGCACUGGGCUGGUGUGGAAACACACCUUCUCCGUAAGGGGCUGGUGCACAGGUGCUGCAUGGCUGUCGUCAGCUCGUGUCGUGAGAUGUUGGGUUAAGUCCCGCAACGAGCGCAACCCUUGCCUCUAGUUGCCAUCAAGUAAUGUUGAGCACUCUAGAGGGACUGCCGUCGAUAGGACGGAGGAAGGUGGGGAUGACGUCAAGUCCUCAUGGUCCUUACGCCUGGGGCUACACACGUGCUACAAUGGCCGGUACAAAGGGUUGCAAGACCGCGAGGUGGAGCCAAUCCCAAAAAACCGGUCUCAGUUCGGAUUGCAGUCUGCAACUCGACUGCAUGAAGCCGGAAUCGCUAGUAAUCGCUGAUCAGCAGGCAGCGGUGAAUAUGUUCCCGGGCCUUGUACACACCGCCCGUCAAGCCACGAAAGCUGGUAGUACCCGAAGUCGCUGUCCCAACCGUAAGGAGGGAGGCGCCUAAGGUAAGAUUGGUGAUUGGGGCUAAGUCGUAACAAGGUA